GCAGAAUCAGUCAUCCUAGCGAAAGCCAAAGCCGCAGUGAUGUCAUGGAUACAAUCCAAUAUACCCUCCAGCAAAUUCUCCCCUGACUUUCCCAGAUUGGAAUGGUUUUUAGAACUUAUGCGAGUGAUCUAGGGGUUAUGGAGAUAGAAAAGGGGAGGAUUGUGUUUGAUGUGAAUAUUACAUGAAGAUUUUGUGCAUACACUCCCAUAUACAAACCUAUAUGCAUAUGUGAGUGCAAGCUAACAGAAUCAAAGAGAGAAAGGCUUGAGAUUUGGGGUUAGGGAGAGGCAAAACUCAUUUGUUUAAUGGAGGAAUCAUUGGCUUUAUUUCUUGGAUUGGUAAUAAUAACGGGGAAGCAAAGUCAGUGUUUUUGCUUUUACGUCAUUCCAAGGGUUCGUUUGCUUUUGGUUGAGGGAGAGAGAGAGAGAGUAAAGUGUUUGGUGUUAUGUUCCUUGGCUUAUUUCUCUAUCUGGUAAAAUCGUAUGGGGCGUGUGUCUCAUUUAUUGGAGACUGUAGACUUGGUCUCCACACUAAUUUCAGACUUUAGGUUUAUAGAUACUUCCCUGGGUUAGAGGAUAUGGGGUUUUUGGAUAAUUCCAUCAUUGAUCCGUCAUGCAUUAUCCUUUUCUCUAAUGACAAAGACACAAAGUUGAGACUGAUCUGAUGAUAUAUACACUCUUCUUAGUGCAGUUUAUAAAGAUCUUGAUUGAUUAAAAUUCUAA